rnacentral:rRNA from 1 species
GAUAAACGCUGGCGGCGCACAUAAGACAUGCAAGUCGAACGGAAGUCGUUGUAAUGAAAUAGAAACGGACAGAGAACUUGUUCGAAGAAAGUGGAAGUAGACUUACAACAAUGGCUUUAGUGGCGGACUGGUGAGUAACGCGUAAGGAACCUGCCUUCUAGAGGGGAAUAACAAUGAGAAAUCAUUGCUAAUACCGCAUAUGCCGAGAGAAUCACAUGGUACAAUCGGGAAAAGAGUAAUCUGCUAGAAGAUGGCCUUGCGUCUGAUUAGAUAGUUGGUGGGGUAACGGCCUACCAAGUCGACGAUCAGUAGCCGGACUGAGAGGUUGAACGGCCACAUUGGGACUGAGAUACGGCCCAGACUCCUACGGGAGGCAGCAGUCGGGAAUAUUGCGCAAUGGAGGAAACUCUGACGCAGUGACGCCGCGUAUAGGAAGAAGGUUUUCGGAUUGUAAACUAUUGUCGUUAGGGAAGAGAAAGGACAGUACCUAAGGAGGAAGCUCCGGCUAACUACGUGCCAGCAGCCGCGGUAAUACGUAGGGAGCGAGCGUUAUCCGGAAUUAUUGGGUGUAAAGGGUGCGUAGACGGGAAGAUAAGUUAGUUGUGAAAUCCCUCGGCUUAACUGAGGAACUGCAACUAAAACUGUUUUUCUUAAGUGCAGGAGAGGUAAGUGGAAUUCCUAGUGUAGCGGUGAAAUGCGUAGAUAUUAGGAGGAACACCAGUGGCGAAGGCGACUUACUGGACUGUAACUGACGUUGAGGCACGAAAGUGUGGGGAGCAAACAGGAUUAGAUACCCUGGUAGUCCACACCGUAAACGAUGGUACUGGGUGUAGGAGAUAUUAAGUCUUCUGUGCCGUCGCAAACGCAGUAAGUAUCCCCCCGGGGGAGUACGGCCGCAAGGAUGAAGCUCAAAGGAAAUUGACGGGGGCCCGCACAAGCAGUGGAGUAUGUGGUUUAAUUUGUCGCAACGCGAAGAACCUUACCAAGUCUUGACAUCCCUUGACGAUGGUGGAAACAGUAUUUCUUUUCUGAGCAAGGAGACAGGUGGUGCAUGGUUGUCGUCAGCUCGUGUCGUGAGAUGUUGGGUUAAGUCCCGCAACGAGCGCAACCCUCAUGGUCGGUUAUUACGCAAGAGGACUCCGGCCAGACUGCCGUUGACAAAACGGAGGAAGGUGGGGAGGACGUCAAAUCAUCAUGCCCCCUAUGACUUGGGCUACACACGUACUACAAUGGCGUUAAACAAAGAGAAGCAAGACCGCGAGGUGGAGCAAAACUCAGAAACAACGUCCCAGUUCGGACUGCAGGCUGCAACUCGCCUGCACGAAGUCGGAAUUGCUAGUAAUCGCAGAUCAGCAUGCUGCGGUGAAUAAAAUCCCGGGCCUUGCACA